rnacentral:tRNA from 1 species
CAGGGAGACAACAAAAUGUUAAAUAUUAUUAUUUUGUCACCUUAGGUCGAUCGGUAUCUCACAUUCUUAAUUUAUUAAGAAUUUCAUUUCCUAAGUUUUUCUAGGUCACACCCAUUAUUUUUCCUGGGCCAUUAGCUCAGGUGGUUAGAGCGCACCCCUGAUAAGGGUGAGGUCCCUGGUUCAAGUCCAGGAUGGCCCAUAUCUCUAUGUUGGGGGUAUAGCUCAGUUGGUAGAGCGCCUGCUUUGCAAGCAGGAUGUCAGCGGUUCGAGUCCGCUUACCUCCACUGAUUACCACCUCUUCCAUAACCGGUAGUAAAGGAAAUGUUUUGAGUUGUGAUCAAAUUCUGAAAGAAUCUAGCUUCCUAAUGAAAUCAUUAAGAUGCUGGACUCAUUGAAUUAAUUUCAUUGUUUUCAGAGAACCUUGACAACUGCAUAGAUUAUUUUUAAAGACAAUAAGCAUCUUUAAUGAUGCAGAUUUAUUAUUUGUGCGAAUGCAUUAAUAACAAUUCUAUUAAGCUGAUGCUUCAAUUUUUGAAGUUAUU